rnacentral:lncRNA from 1 species
AAAUAAUAUUGCCGUGGAACUUUUAUUCAUGUGAGUGUAAUAGUCUAUAGAUUAGUUGGUGGAAUAGUCAAAUAGAAGUUAAUACGUUCUUGCUCAAUCCUGCGUCGCUUUGAAGGUGUCAUGAUUGCCAUCCUCAGCCUAAGCAAUGUGUUACUGUAAUUUGAAUUUCAAAAUGACUUAGCGACGUUUUUUUUCGACGCACUGUUCAACUCCACCAUUGAGAAUUACAUGACUUUGACAAUCAGUAAAUUCCAGCGACAAAUAUCUUUAUAAGUAAAGAAUUGUCGCAUAAAAAUUAAAUACUACAGUACACGAGAAAUGGCAAAGUUCACGAAGUCUAGUCUAAUUAAUCAUUUUACCAAAAAAAAAAAAAAAAAAGCCCCAGCCCUCUACGCCCCCUCUGGAUCCGCCACUGAUGUUUCACUGUCCCGAU